rnacentral:rRNA from 1 species
GUCAUGGCUCAGGAUGAACGCUAGCUACAGGCUUAACACAUGCAAGUCGAGGGGCAGCAUGGUCUUAGCUUGCUAAGACUGAUGGCGACCGGCGCACGGGUGAGUAACACGUAUCCAACCUGCCGUCUACUCUUGGACAGCCUUCUGAAAAGGAAGAUUAAUACAAGAUGGCAUCAUGAGUCCGCAUGUUCACAUGAUUAAAGGUAUUCCGGUAGACGAUGGGG